rnacentral:rRNA from 1 species
CGAGUCGUUAUCCUAACCUGCAAAGGAAGGAGAUGCCGAAGGUGGGGCUGAUGACUGGGGUGAAGUCGUAACAAGGUAGCCGUACCGGAAGGUGUGGCUGGAUCACCUCCUUUU